rnacentral:tRNA from 2 species
GUGGUAGUAGCUCAAUUGGUAGAGCAUCUGGUUGUGGUCCAGGCGGUUGCCGGUUCAAGCCCGGUCUACCACC